rnacentral:sRNA from 1 species
GUCGUGAGAUGUUGGGUUAAGUCCCGCAACGAGCGCAACCCUUGUCCUGUGUUACCAUGCCGAAAGGCGGCACUCGCAGGAGACCGCCAGCGAUAAGCUGGAGGAAGGUGGGGAUGACGUCAAGUCCUCAUGGCCUUUAUGUCCAGGGCUACACACGUGCUACAAUGGGCGGUACAAAGCGCUGCGAAGCCGCAAGGUGGAGCCAAUCGCAGAAAGCCGCUCUCAGUUCGGAUUGCAGGCUGCAACUCGCCUGCAUGAAGCUGGAAUCGCUAGUAAUGCUAUAUCAGAACGAUAGCGUGAAUACGUUCCCGGGCCUUGUACACACCGCCCGUCACAUCACGAAAGUGGAUUGUACUAGAAGUCUGCGCGCUAACCCGCAAGGGAGGCAGCGGCCCAAGGUAUGAUUCAUGAUUGGGGUGAAGUCGUAACAAGGUAGCCGUAGGAGAACCUGCGGCUGGAUCACCUCCUUUCUAAGAGAACGUGGGUGGAGUCGCCGACAAAGUACACGGCGACAGUCGUUCCACUCCAAUUUCAGCAGUUUGUCUGGCAGCUUUAGUUGCUAGGGGAAUUAGCUGGAUCGCUCGGAUUCUCUGCUCGGAGUUAUGGAAGUAGAUAUGGGUACCGGAGCUGGUCUCUGGUCCCACGCGUCCAAUCGGCCUCGAUUAGUCUUUCUUACCAGGGGCUGUAGCUCAGUUGGGAGAGCGCCUGAUUUGCACUCAGGAGGUCGCCGGUUCGAUCCCGACCAGCUCCACCAGCUUUGAAGAGCCCGCCGGGCCUGUAGCUCAGUUGGCUAGAGCGCACCCCUGAUAAGGGCGAGGUCGGUAGUUCGAUUCUACCCAGGCCCACCAAAAAAGUUUGCAGUGCAGUUUGCUGUGAAGAGACAUUGAUCUUUGACAAUUGAAUAUUGACGGGCAUUUACUACAAGUAAAUGCGAAGCGCAGAAGAAAGUACAUCUGUGUUUAGAAUAGAUUUUAUGGUCAAGCUACUAAGGGCGUGUGUGUGGAUGCCUUGGCGCAAGUAGGCGAUGAAGGACGUGGUCAGCUGCGAUAAGCUUCGGGGAGUUGCUAACAAACUGUGAUCCGGAGAUGU